GAUGAACGCUGGCGGCGUGCCUAAUACAUGCAAGUCGAGCGAACGGACGAGAAGCUUGCUUCUCUGAUGUUAGCGGCGGACGGGUGAGUAACACGUGGAUAACCUACCUAUAAGACUGGGAUAACUUCGGGAAACCGGAGCUAAUACCGGAUAAUAUUUUGAACCGCAUGGUUCAAAAGUGAAAGACGGUCUUGCUGUCACUUAUAGAUGGAUCCGCGCUGCAUUAGCUAGUUGGUAAGGUAACGGCUUACCAAGGCAACGAUGCAUAGCCGACCUGAGAGGGUGAUCGGCCACACUGGAACUGAGACACGGUCCAGACUCCUACGGGAGGCAGCAGUAGGGAAUCUUCCGCAAUAGGCGAAAGCCUGACGGAGCAACGCCGCGUGAGUGAUGAAGGUCUUCGGAUCGUAAAACUCUGUUAUUAGGGAAGAACAUAUGUGUAAGUAACUGUGCACAUCUUGACGGUACCUAAUCAGAAAGCCACGGCUAACUACGUG
rnacentral:rRNA from 1 species